GAGUCACUUAGCAGACUAAUUUACUGCUGAAGAGAAACCACUCUGUUUCUAUAGCGCUUGUGACACCAACCAGGAAAUUCAAAGUCAAUGUUCUGCUUCAGCUAGUGCUAUUGUGGACUAGGAGGGGAAGGAAAGGGAUAGAGGCUCUAUACUCAGAGUGUGUCUACACUACAGCUGCUACAGUGCUCCAGGAAGUCUGGGGUGGAGCAGGGACUUGAUCCUGGCUUUCACAAGCCCUAAGCUACCACCCUAACCCCGAGACCAUCCUUCUUCUCAGGCUCUUUAACCUUCUUGCAGCUUUGUAUUUCCAUCUCUCAAACAGAAAUGCUAAUUUACCACCUCUCUAAAGCACUUUGACUCCAGUUCAGCAAACUUAGCCGCUAAUAUGGAUUCUUACUACAAGAUGGAUUGCAAAACUGAUAACAAAGGGCUGCUGAAAACAUGAAAUAUCAAGAGACCUUUCCAGGAAAAGAGAGACACUUUCCCAGAGGAGCAUUCAAGUUUACCAAUGACUGAUUCCAGUGCAGUGUAUAAUAUUGCAGGGCUUUUUACUUCAACUUCUCCCCCACCAACUUUAACUUCUGCACCGUUGAGGAAGUUUUGAAAAAGUUACAGAGCAGAGAAAAGAAAAAAGAAAAAGAAAAAAGCAAAUGGGGUAACCUGGACCUGUUUCAUGUGAUUAAAGGCAGUGGCAAAAAAAAAGGCAGGAGAAGGGGAAAAUACAAAACUUU